rnacentral:rRNA from 1 species
UGGGGGAUAUUGCACAAUGGGCGAAAGCCUGAUGCAGCGACGCCGCGUGGGGGAUGAAGGCCUUCGGGUUGUAAACUUCUUUUGCUCUGAACAAGGCAUGCUUUUGGGGUGUGUUGAGUGUAGGGGUUGAUUAGCGCCGGCUAACUACGUGCCAGCAGCCGCGGUAAUACGUAGGGCGCGAGCGUUGUCCGGAAUUAUUGGGCGUAAAGGGCUUGUAGGUGGCUGGUUGCGUCUGUCGUGAAAGCUCAUGGCUUAACUGUGGGUUUGCGGUGGGUACGGGCUGGCAUGAGUGCAGUAGGGGAGGCUGGAAUUCCUGGUGUAGCGGUGGAAUGCGCAGAUAUCAGGAGGAAUACCGGUGGCGAAGGCGGGUCUCUGGGCUGUUACUGACGCUGAGGAGCGAAAGCGUGGGGAGCGAACAGG